CCCAGCUGCCCCCCUUACCUUUUUUUUUUUUAAAUCCUUACCUUAUGUCUUAGAAUCAAUAUGGUAUAUUGGUUCCAAGACAGAAAUGUAGUAAGGUCUAGGCAAUGAGGGUUAAGUGACUUGCCAGGGUCACACAGCUAGGAAAUGUUUAAGGACAAAUUUGAACCCAGGACCUCCCAUCUCUAGGCCUGGCUCUCUAUCCACUGAACCAUUUAGCCACCCUAUCCUUAUCUUUCUUAUUUCUGCUGGCCCUAGGCCUUUGGACUCUGGUUUCCUACUUUGACCUAUUUUCUCUCUAUGAUGAAGUGAGCUCAUAGAUAAGCCUCUUUGAAUUGUGAAAUAUGCUGGACCCUUCUCUCUCCCUCCCUGCUUCUCACUUUAGUUAGACUACUAAUCCUGAUGUUUCCCAUUUAUCUCUGUACUAUUUCAGUGUGUCUCACAGCUGUCUGGGACCUGAUCCAGUUUUCUUACUAUACAAGGAUAGCCACCUAUCCUUAACCCACCCUUUCAUCCAUCCGUCCAUCCAUCCAUCCAUCUAUCCAUCCAUCCAUCCAUCCAUCCAUCCAUCCAUCCAUCCAUCCAUCCAUCCAUCUAUCCAUUCAUCCAGACAUGUUUUGGCUGCUAAUUGAACCAAGACUCUGUUCUUAUCAAGGAUCUUCUUCUUACCUUAGAAUCUGACCUGACAUCCAUGUUUCUUGAAAGAGGAGACAUAUGGCAGAUAUGUACACAAUGACAUAUGUCUACAUGGAGAGAAUAUUGAAUUUGGAAUUAGGAGACACAUUUUAGCCCUGGCUCCAAUAUUUAAAUCCUGUGUAACCUUGGAGUCAUCCAAGACCAGUGGAAACACAGAUGUCAGAAUGACUGAUGAUGGCCAGGGAUGCACUGAGUGACCAUGACAUCAUUGAUAUCUGAUCAAGCUUUAGACACUCCACAGUGCCUGCUUCAACCACCUUCAUGGCCCUUGGAACAAAUUGUUCUCAUUCUCCCAUUCCACGGGAAGAAGUCUUCAUAUGCUUGGGGAUAGACAUCCUUCCUAGCUCAGCAAUGGGUUUGAGGUCUAUCAGUUACCCUCUACCUGCUUUAGCCCACUUGCUGAGAUGGUUUACUGGGGCGUUGCCACUGCACAUGCUACAGCUUCUUGGAGCUGCAGGCUAAAUGAAUCUAUUCCUUUCGGUGCUCCUUGUUUGACUCUCUGGACUUUGGCUGCUUUCUCACCUUGGAAAAUGACUUCUCUUUCCCUGUGACUGUACCAUGGAAGAUCCCUCCACUUCUGGGGUUCUCUCUUCCUAGUUCCUUCUAGAACUUUCAUUCUGAGGAAGUGCUUCAGCCAGCAACACAUUUAUUCACUCUUCUCUCAGAUCUGCACCGGAAUCCAAUCAUAAUGGAUUCUCCAUCAUGGCCCUUUUACCCCACAAUGUUUCAUCAAUGUUUUAUGUAUUGACUUUUCCCAUUGGAAUGUAAGCUCCUUGAGGGCAGGAACAUUGGGGUGUGUUUGAGGAGGGCUUAUAUUUGUAUUCUCAGCACUUCCUGGAAUACAGCAAGUGCUUAAUAAAUGCUUUUGGACUUGAUUCCUGUUUCUUGAA
ensembl:lncRNA